GAGCUUGUAUGUCGCUGAAUACUUCACAGUAGGCUACAGGUGAGUGUACAUGUGGAGAAGUUAAUGGCAUUCGGUGACUGCGUUGGGAAAGCAGCUAGAGAUGACCGUGAAGUGAAAUCCUGUGACAACAGUGUGUGAGGCGCGACAUGAAGCGUGCUAAACGUCGACCUUUCUGUGUUUUCAGGUAAAGCAGAGGAGGAAAACCACGCUAUUUGCCAAACCUGCUCCACACAAUGGUCAAGCAAAGCAGAGGGGGGAUCCAUGCUAUUUGUCAGUCCAGCUGCACACAAGUGAUGUAUAUGUGCUGCCGAAGCAAGCACGAAGUAAGCGCCCGGACGUCUGCUAUAUAUCCCAGGGACUUCUGGGUAUGUUUCUGCCAAGUGCAGAUCUUUUGUCCUCGCGUCCUUCUCCUUCCCCCACAUGCAUGCGCAGACCUUCCCCCGCCGCAGACCAGAGGACAACACACUCCGACACCAGCAAACAGCCGGGCGAAACAUUCACAGACACUCGGAGGCUAAGAAGAUCUAAACUCCGUGAUAGCUAAGAUCAAACUAUUUCAUAACUGUAACAAGAGGCGAUUCCAUCAUAACGUAAUGUUGAAAUGGAUAGCAUAACAUUAUUCAUCAAUGUGUGACUCUUUUUUUUUUGGGUUCUCGGAAGCUGUAGAAAGUAAAAAUGUACAACAGGAAAUGCGCUGGGACCGUUGCUUUUGUUUACAUCCCUCAAAAUAGUCUAUAGCGUAGUCACGAAGUGUUUUAAACGGAGUUUAGGUGCUCUGUAUUGAGUCGUGAUGAUGUAUAUCGUCGCCUUACAAUUAUAAGGUUCUAUCUGACAUUUUUGUCAAAAUUGAGUUAUUGACAUAUUAUAUAUGACAUAUUAUAUGACAUAUUCUUAUUAAAUGACAACUUAUUUACAUUGUGAUGUGUUUUUAUAUAUAUAUUUUAUUUACAUUUUAAGACGUUUUAUUUAAAAAAUAAAAACGGUUUAUCUACAAAAUUGAAUUCUAGCUUGGUUCUAUAAGGUUCUUUCUGUGAGCCAAUCAGCAUUUUUAAUGCACGCACGAGGACCAAUCAGGAUCAGCUUUUUUUGUUGUCACAUGCCGCACUGCUCCAUUGACAGCGGGAAACACCAGGAAGAAACCCAAAAAUCAUACAAAAUCGGAGUUGGCUAAAAAAACGCCACAGCAGACAAAUUGAGAUGUGAUGAUUUAGAAGCUUUUUUUGACAUUGAGAUUAAAUGUAAAAUUUUACACUGUUGAAAUAGAAACGAAAUAUUUUAAAAAAUUACAUAUUAAAUGUGAAAUAUUUUUGUGUGUGUGUGUAUGUAUAUGUAUAUUUAUAUAUAUUUAUAUAUAUAUUAUAUAUAUAUAUAUAUAUAUAUAUAUAU
rnacentral:lncRNA from 1 species